AUGCAAGACGUACGAGAGUUUUUAAUUCUAGUGGCGGACGGGUGAGUAACACGUGAGAAUUUACCUUUAGGAGGGGGAUAACAAUUGGAAACGAAUGCUAAUACCCCAUAUGCUUUUGAGUGAAAUGGAUUUAUAAUUAUCCGCCUAAAGAAAAGCUCGCGGCUGAUUAGCUUGUUGGUAAGGUAAGAGCUUACUAAGGCGACGAUCAGUAUCUGGUUUGAGAGGACGAUCAGACACACUGGAACUGAGACACGGUCCAGACUCCUACGGGAGGCAGCAGUGGGGAAUUUUCCGCAAUGGGCGAAAGCCUGACGGAGCAAUACCGCGUGAGGGAAGACUGCCUAUGGGUUGUAAACCUCUUUUUUCAGGGAGGAAUAAAAUGACGUGUACCUGAAGAAUAAGCAUCGGCUAACUCCGUGCCAGCAGCCGCGGUAAGACGGAGGAUGCAAGUGUUAUCCGGAAUCACUGGGCGUAAAGCGUCUGUAGGUGGUUUAAUAAGUCAACUGUUAAAUCUUGAGGCUCAACUUCAAAACCGCAGUCGAAACUAUUAGACUAGAGUAUAGUAGAGGUAAAGGGAAUUUCCAGUGGAGCGGUGAAAUGCGUAGAUAUUGGAAAGAACACCGAUGGCGAAAGCACUUUACUGGGCUAUUACUAACACUCAGAGACGAAAGCUAGGGUAGCAAAUGGGAUUAGAUACCCCAGUAGUCCUAGCCGUAAACUAUGGAUACUAGAUGUUGAACAGAUCGACCUGUGCAGUAUCAAAGCUAACG
rnacentral:rRNA from 1 species